GAUGAACGCUGGCGGCGUGCCUAAUACAUGCAAGUCGAGCGAACAGAUGAGGGGCUUGCUCCUCUGACGUUAGCGGCGGACGGGUGAGUAACACGUGGAUAACCUACCUAUAAGACUGGGAUAACUUCGGGAAACCGGAGCUAAUACCGGAUAAUAUAUUGAACCGCAUGGUUCAAUAGUGAAAGACGGUUUUGCUGUCACUUAUAGAUGGAUCCGCGCCGCAUUAGCUAGUUGGUAAGGUAACGGCUUACCAAGGCAACGAUGCGUAGCCGACCUGAGAGGGUGACCGGCCACACUGGAACUGAGACACGGUCCAGACUCCUACGGGAGGCAGCAGUAGGGAAUCUUCCGCAAUGGGCGAAAGCCUGACGGAGCAACGCCGCGUGAGUGAUGAAGGUCUUCGGAUCGUAAAACUCUGUUAUUAGGGAAGAACAAAUGUGUAAGUAACUAUGCACGUCUUGACGGUACCUAAUCAGAAAGCCACGGCUAACUACGUG
rnacentral:rRNA from 1 species